GCCUCGGUCGUAUAGUGGUAGCACAUAUACCCGGCAUGGAUGGAACGCGGGUUCGACUCCCGUCUGAGACU